AAGCCAGCAAACGUAAUAGUAGCUAAAGUUCCCUGAAGUAAUAUAAACAACAUAGUUAGGCUUGAAACCCAGUCAAAAGCCACAUAACUAUUUAACCAAACCUGACUGGACCUCUCUGCGUAAAAUAAAAGUAUACAGCAAAAAUGUAACUACCUGGCUUAGUGUGGAUGUAUAGUAGCUAUAGCUACACCCUUGGAAACUUAGCGAGCUGGCUAAAUAGCACAGCCAACAUUAGCUAUGAUCCAACUUUACCUCGCUAGUAAUUAUCACGCUAGCCAUCUAGCCAGCCAGCCAGUCGAUCAUAUGAGUAAUUUAGUUGUUUCCUCGUGUGCUAACGUUCACUAUCCACCGUAUCCAAGUUCAAAAAACAGUUCCUUGGGGUGUAGCAGACGUGAACAAGUCAGGAAGUUGUUUCCUCAUGUAUGUUUCAGCCAUCUUCACAGAGUCAAAUGUGCGCUCACCAUUCUUGGUUUCGAUCCACAAAGUCACUGGGUAGCGCAGGCCGUAUGCCAAGCCAGCCUGACGCAGAAGUCUCUUCAGUGGGGAGAAAGCCAUCCUCCUCUUGUGUAGUGUGGGAGAAAGAUCAGGAAAGAUCAUGAUUCUGGCAUCUCCAUACUUGAGCUCUCCCUUUGCUCGGGCAGCAGAUAGGAUGCGAACAGUGUCCUGGUAGUGUAGAAAUGUAAUGACAAAUGCCCUGGGUGCAACAUGGCCAGGCAGCCGCCUGCCUACGUAGGGUGCGAUGGGCCCUCUCGAUAUCCAGUGGGUGCGCGGGAGGGGGUAGAUCCAGAAUUUUGGGAAUCCAUUCCUGUGGAAAGGAGACCGCGUCUCUUCCCUCUACGGCCUCGGCCUUGAAGUUUCAAAUUCGAGUGCCCUUGGAAAUGUUCGUAAUAAUCAAAUUUCUCCUCGAGUUUAGAGAUGGUGUCUUCCAACUUCUUGUAUUUUUGGUCCACUUCCUUGCGGACGUCCAGGAUGGCAGCCUGGUGAAUAUAUUGUUGAAACUUUAUAGUCAAAUCCUACGUGUGCAAAUUAUCUGGAAGUCCAAAUUGAAGCCAUGAAAGAAAGAGUGAUGUCCAGGACUAAGACACAAGAGACCAGUCAGAACAGUUCUGAGAACAGCCUGACAGACAUCCUCAGUGUCCGGAGUGCCAGUGAUAUUGUCCUACAGCCAAUGCCACCAGGGAGAAAGAAUAGCCGAUCCCACUUCCACAACAUGGAUGUGACUAAAGAGAGGGCUGACAUGGGAAGGCUUCCAAUGGCCACUCCACCCGUCAGCCUCCCAAUGCUCACUGUGACCUCUCUCACUGUCCAAAAGAUCAAAAACACCCUCAAGGUGACUGGCAUGCCUCGUCUACAGCUGGAGGGAGAGAUGGGUAGCAAGCGUCUGGGUCCGGUCAAAACCAAAACCGGAGGGAGCACAUUGACCUCCAGCCACAAGCAGGAGCCAGAGGUUAAAUCCAGCAGACCAUCUGGUAGCAUCUCUAGGAGGCCCAAUGUAUGCUCCACUGCAGCCAAGGCAGUAGCUCCUUUAUCUGGGACUCCAUGCAGCCAGUCUGAGGUCAGGAUCCAGGCCAAUCCUCUCCAGAGGUCUAACAUCCAGGACCAAAGGCCCCGCUCUCCUCCUGCUCAGGCCAGACGGUCUCUGUUCGACGGCAGCCUCUUGCAGCCGCCAUGUUCUCCUGUGGAUGUCCUCCAGCCGGAGGUCCAGGCCAGCAGAAGCCUGGCUCGACCCAAGACCGGGAUAGCUAGGAUAACAAGACAUACUGAUGGAAGCACUCUGAGGUUCCCUAACCAGACCUUAGAGCUUAUAAACUCCAUGGGUAGGAGGGAGAUCACAAAUUCUUUCCCUGUGCUGCCAACCAUUGCAGUGUCAGCCUCACCUGCCCAGAUGGCUAUCCCAUUGCCUACCCCAAUGAUCAGCCAAGUGCCUGAUCUUCUGGUGCCUACUCCAUCUGCUUCUCCGGUUCCGUCCAGCCGAGUGCCUGCCCCACCUGCCUCCCCAGUGCCAGCCCGGCCUGCCAACACCAGAUCACGUAGGCAGGUGUCGGAGAGGAUCCAGCGCUUACAGAUCCAGUCUGCUAUGAAGGACCAGCAGCUACCAGAACAACUGGGUGACAAUCAAAUCAUAUUACCCUCUGAGCCCCUGUCCUUCAGUAGCACUGAGAGGAUGUUCCUCUGUGGUCCACCUUUAGUCUGCCACCCAGCUAACGUAGGUGGAGAUGAUGGCUGUCACCCCCUGCCCAGACCUACGCCCAGCCACACAGGUCUCACCGACCACUCCGCUUUACUGACCAGUAGGAGAGCCGUGCAGGCGGGCGAGAAGUGUCCCUUUGAAAUCCUCUUGACCCCACUGGUAGAACAGCCUCCUAUCGAGCGGUGGCACAUGCCCGCCUCCCGUGCCAAGGCCGAGCGGGAAUGGGAGAAUAGCCAACGAGGGCGCAGGAAGAGAGUGAAGCCCAUUCACUGGGACGUUAACUUUAAGUCUGGGCCUUUCUUCCCAGUGUGUGUCGCUCCAUCACUGCCCUCGAUCUUGGAGGUGGAUGAAGAGUCUCUUUCUGAAGAGAUGGAGCAAAGCCUGUUGUAGGGGGGGUCGCACACACACACACAACUUAUUUUUUAUUUAUCUUUAUUUAAAUAGGCAAGUUAGUUAUAACAAAUUCUUAUUUACAAUGACGACCUACCCCGGCACAACCCUAACCCGGACGACACUGGGCCAAUUGUGCGCCGCCCUAUGGGACCAGUGCCUUAGACCGCUGUGCCAAUCGGGAGCCCUAUUGAGACCUCAUGGCCUCCCAUGGACCAGAGAGGAUCAGCCAGCAUCAUCCCAGCGUCUGCCCUGCCUGCCAUCCUAGUACCUCCACUGCCCUUUCAACCCCAAAGCACAAAGGGCAGGUGACAGAAAUGAUCCAGCGCCCACCGAUCCAGGCUGUAGUACAUGAGCAGCAGCAGCUACUGUCAGAAGUACUGUUGGAACAGACUUUUCCUAUGAGACCCAACAGGAGCCACAAGCUGUCAAAGUACUUUCAUCCCUGGGGUGUGUAGCUUCUCGAAGAGUGUUCUCUUCCUGAAGAUGGACUGCUUCAACCCCUUGGGAGUAUCCAGAGUAUCUAGUACGCUGGUGUGAUGAUAGAAUAUGUCUAUCAGUAUCAAUUAGAGAUUAAUAUUAAUCCACUUGUUAUUCUAGUUAGGCAAAUGUUAAUUUAUCAUCAGCAUGUUCCAAAGAUUUCUGUUUCUAUAAAGUUUUAUUGCAGUUGAAAAUGAUCAGUGGUGUGUGUUGUUGGUUUCUUGUGAGCUAUGAAGUAUACCCUUUUAGUAGAAUGUUUAUUUCUUCAUUGGAUUUGUUGACCAAGGAGAAGAGGUAAGUGCUGACCGGACUAAUAGAAGUGAAGGUCUGAUUCAAAUUUGUAUUCAUCCGAAGGAGGCACAUCUGACUCACACCUUAGUGCAAUAAUUCUUCACAUUUUCAAUGUAUAGCAACACUGACAAAUUCUCAGGUGGAACUAUUUGUACUACUGUAUUGGAAAUGAGGAUCUAUCCAAAAACAGUGUUUAUGAAAUGCGAGAAUGCUGAACAACAUUUCCUGACCAAUAGGCUUGUUUGUCGUAAUAUUUGGCCAAAGUUUAAUUUGCUUGAGUCAAGAGGUCCUUUCUCAACUUGCACAUGUAAGGGAAGCAGACAGCUGCAGAUUUAAUAUAACUGCUGGGUUACGCGGUAACCAGGUCUCUCUUGCCAAAAGAACCCACUUUUGCAAGAAAGACCUGGAUAGUGCCACAUAACGCUUAUGUAAAUUCUUCCUUUUAUACAAAUAAAAAUGACCCCUUUAUCUGGAAUAGAUGUAGUGUUGCCUUACAUUUGUGAAAUGUGAAUGACAUUUGCUUAGCCUUCAAACUGUGCUUCGUUUAAAAUACUGUUGGUUGGACUGCGAGGCAGUCAAUGUAUCGUUUUUCUUUUGAUCUGAAGCCUGACACUGUACGACACGUCGUGUCUCAUUCUCCUUCUUUUGAAUAAAGCUUCCUCUGCAUGAUUUUAUUCUAA
rnacentral:lncRNA from 1 species